rnacentral:tRNA from 1 species
GCGGGUGUAGUUCACCGGUAGAAUGCGACCUUCCCAAGGUUGAGAAGAGGGUCCGAUUCCCUUCACCCGCUC